rnacentral:rRNA from 1 species
CCCUUAGAUGUUCUGGGCCGCACGCGCGCUACAAUGAUGAAUUCAACGAGUUUAUAACCUUGGUUGAAAAGCCUGGGUAAUCUUUUGAACUUUCGUCGUGAUGGGGCUAGACCCUUGCAAUUAUUGGUCUCCAACGAGGAAUUCCUAGUAAACGCAAGUCAUCAGCUUGCAUUGAUUACGUCCCUGCCCUUUGUACACACCGCCCGUCGCACCUACCGAUUGAAUGGUCCGGUGAAAUCUUCGGAUUGAGACUUUGAUUUCUUCACGGAAAAUGCUGUUUUAAAAAGUUGAUUAAACCUUACCAUUUAGAGGAAGGUGAAGUCGUAACA